UACAGAGGGUGCAAGCGUUAAUCGGAAUUACUGGGCGUAAAGCGUGCGUAGACGGUUGCGUAAGUCAGAUGUGAAAGCCCCGGGCUCAACCUGGGAAUUGCAUUUGAGACUGCGUAGCUAGGGUGCGGAAGAGGGAAGCGGAAUUUCCGGUGUAGCGGUGAAAUGCGUAGAUAUCGGAAGGAACACCAGUGGCGAAAGCGACUUCCUGGUCCAAUACUGACGUUCAUGUGCGAAAGCGUGGGGAGCAAACAGG
rnacentral:rRNA from 1 species